UCGCCUACGGGGGGCAGCAGUGAGGAAUAUUGGUCAAUGGCCGGAAGGCUGAACCAGCCAAGCCGCGUGAAGGACGAAGGUGCCAAGCAUUGUAAACUUCUUUUGUCAAGGGACAAAAUCAGGCUCGAGAGCCUGACCGAGGGUACUUGAAGAAAAAGCAUCGGCUAACUCCGUGCCAGCAGCCGCGGUAAUACGUAGGGGGCAAGCGUUAUCCGGAUUUACUGGGUGUAAAGGGAGCGUAGACGGCGCGGCAAGUCUGAAGUGAAAGGCAGGGGCUUAACCCCUGAACUGCUUUGGAAACUGCC
rnacentral:rRNA from 1 species